GAUGAAGAACGUAGCGAAAUGCGAUAAGUAAUGUGAAUUGCAGAAUUCAGUGAAUCAUCGAAUCUUUGAACGCAUCUUGCGCUCCUUGGUAUUCUGAGGAGCAUGCCUGUUUGAGUGUCAUUAAAUUCUCAACUACACUGACUUUGAAUUGGUGUGGCUUGGAUUUGGGGGGAAAAUUGUUGUGGGCUUUUUGUAUAGUCUGCUCCCCUGAAAUUGAUUAGCGGUACCUUUGUGGAACUGUUUACAGGUGUGAUAAUUAUCUACAUCUUAGACAUCUGCUGGAAUGCUGCUUUCUAAACCUUACUUGUAUUGACAAUCUUGACCUCAAAUCAGGUAGGACUACCCGCUGAACUUAAGCAUAUCAAUAAGCGGGAGGA
rnacentral:misc_RNA from 1 species